rnacentral:rRNA from 1 species
GAUGAACGCUGGCGGCGUGCCUCAAACAUGCAAGUCGAGCGGGGCUAUGUAAUAUCGCAAGGUGGAACAUAGCCUAGCGGCGAACGGGUGAGUAACACGUGGGUAACCUGCCUGGAAGACAGGGAUAACGAUUCGAAAGGGUCGCUAAUACCUGAUAAUAUCCUUUCAUCGCAUGGUGAUAGGAAGAAAGGGGAAACCCGCUUUCAGAUGGGCCCGCGUCCCAUCAGCUAGUUGGUAAGGUAAAGGCUUACCAAGGCGACGACGGGUAGCCGGUCUGAGAGGAUGUACGGCCACACUGGGACUGAGAUACGGCCCAGACUCCUACGGGAGGCAGCAGUUGGGAAUCUUAGGCAAUGGACGAAAGUCUGACCUAGCGACGCCGCGUGAGGGAAGAAGGCCUCGGUUGUAACUCUGUCAUGGGAAGAAGGAAGUGACGGUACCCAAGAGAAGCCCUGCUAACUACGUG